rnacentral:rRNA from 1 species
GACGAACGCUGGCGGCGUGCUUAACACAUGCCAGUCGAACGGAAAGGCCCUGCUUUUGUGGGGUGCUCGAGUGGCGAACGGGUGAGUAACACGUGAGUAACCUGCCCUUGACUUUGGGAUAACUUCAGGAAACUGGGGCUAAUACCGGAUAGGAGCUCCGGCUGCAGGGGGGGGGUUGGAAAGUUUCGGCGGUUGGGGAUGGACUCGCGGCUUAUCAGCUUGUUGGUGGGGUAGUGGCUUACCAAGGCUUUGACGGGUAGCCGGCCUGAGAGGGUGACCGGCCACAUUGGGACUGAGAUACGGCCCAGACUCCUACGGGAGGCAGCAGUGGGGAAUAUUGCACAAUGGGCGGAAGCCUGAUGCAGCAACGCCGCGUGCGGGAUGACGGCCUUCGGGUUGUAAACCGCUUUCGCCUGUGACGAAGCGUGAGUGACGGUAAUGGGUAAAGAAGCACCGGCUAACUACGUG